rnacentral:rRNA from 1 species
GCUUGCUUCUUGGGUGGCGAGUGGCGAACGGGUGAGUAAUAUAUCGGAACGUACCGAGUAAUGGGGGAUAACUAAUCGAAAGAUUAGCUAAUACCGCAUAUUCUCUGAGGAGGAAAGCAGGGGACCUUCGGGCCUUGCGUUAUUCGAGCGGCCGAUAUCUGAUUAGCUAGUUGGUGGGGUAAAGGCCUACCAAGGCGACGAUCAGUAGCGGGUCUGAGAGGAUGAUCCGCCACACUGGGACUGAGACACGGCCCAGACUCCUACGGGAGGCAGCAGUGGGGAAUUUUGGACAAUGGGCGCAAGCCUGAUCCAGCCAUGCCGCGUGUCUGAAGAAGGCCUUCGGGUUGUAAAGGACUUUUGUCAGGGAAGAAAAGGAUAGGGUUAAUACCCCUGUUUGAUGACGGUACCUGAAGAAUAAGCACCGGCUAACUACGUGCCAGCAGCCGCGGUAAUACGUAGGGUGCGAGCGUUAAUCGGAAUUACUGGGCGUAAAGCGAGCGCAGACGGUUACUUAAGCAGGAUGUGAAAUCCCCGGGCUCAACCUGGGAACUGCGUUCUGAACUGGGUGACUAGAGUGUGUCAGAGGGAGGUAGAAUUCCACGUGUAGCAGUGAAAUGCGUAGAGAUGUGG